UGAAGGUUUGUUUCGGUUCAAUUCUACAUUCUGCUUCCACAUUGAGAAUGGAACUCCAUUGCUCAACUCUCCAGACCUCAUUAUCCUUCUCUGUCAGAGGAAAAGUUCUUGCUCAUGGAGACGCCUCUGCGGCCUGCUCUCCCUCCUCGUCUUCGUUUUCAAGAAUUACAGCUCGAAACUUCUCUUUGGGUCCAAAAAGUAGAGG
rnacentral:misc_RNA from 1 species